CAUGCAGACUGGGUGACCGCCGUCUUUCCCGCAGGGGAAGGAGGGAGGAAAGUCCGGGCUCCUCUGGGCAGGGUGCUGGGUAACUCCCAGGUCCCGAAGCAGGUCCUACGGACCGGCAUCGGGAACGGAAAGUGGCACAGAAACAUACCGUCCCGACUUGUCGGGAUAAGGGUGAAAUCGGACGGUAAGAGCGUCCGGCCGUCUGCGGUGACGCAGCGGCGGCUAAACCCCACCUGGA
rnacentral:RNase_P_RNA from 1 species